rnacentral:rRNA from 1 species
CCUACGGGAGGCAGCAGUGGGGAAUAUUGCACAAUGGGGGAAACCCUGAUGCAGCGACGCCGCGUGAGUGAAGAAGUAAUUCGUUAUGUAAAGCUCUAUCAGCAGGGAAGAAAAUGACGGUACCUGAGUAAGAAGCCCCGGCUAACUACGUGCCAGCAGCCGCGGUAAUACGUAGGGGGCAAGCGGUAUCCGGAUUUACUGGGUGGAAAGGGAGCGUAGACGGCGGUGCAAGUCUGGAGUGAAAGGCGGGGGCUCAACCCCCGGACUGCUCUGGAAACUGUACGGCUGGAGUGCAGGAGAGGUAAGUGGAAUUCCUAGUGUAGCGGUGAAAUGCGUAGAUAUUAGGAGGAACACCAGUGGCGAAGGCGGCUUACUGGACUGUAACUGACGUUGAGGCUCGAAAGCGUGGGGAGCAAACAGGAUUAGAUACCCGAGUAGUC